UACAGAGGUCUCAAGCGUUGUUCGGAUUCAUUGGGCGUAAAGGGUGUGUAGGUGGCGCGCUAAGUCGGGUGUGAAAUUUCGGAGCUUAACUCCGAAACUGCAUUCGAUACUGGCGUGCUUGAGGACUGGAGAGGAGACGUGGAAUUCGAUGGUGUAGCAGUGAAAUGCGUAGAGAUCAUGAGGAAGACCAGUGGCGAAGGCGGGUCUCUGGACGCAGUCCUGACAC
rnacentral:rRNA from 1 species